AUGAAGCUUUAAGCAACUUAUUUNCAUUAAGUAGUACUCUAAUAAUAGAGCAUUUUGG
rnacentral:tRNA from 1 species